GUCUCUUUGAUUUUUUUUAAUGAGGAGUUGGGCCUGCUCGGUGAUUAAUAUUUAACAGCUGCGGUAUUAUAACUGUACUAAGGUAGCAUAAUAAUUUGUCUUAUAAAUUGAGACUAGAAUGAAUGGUUUGACGAAAAUUAGACUGUCUCCAAUUUAUUUAUUAGAAGUUAAUUUUUAUAGUGAAAAAGCUUUGAUAAUUUAAAGGGACGAAAAGACCCUAUUGAGCUUUAUAUUGUGUAUUAAAGUUAUUAAUUGUAUUUAUUUAAUACAUUUUGGUUGGGGUGACUAAGGAAUAAAAUUUAUUUUGUUUGUUAACUUCCUUAAUAGGUUAUAUAUAUAUAUUAAUAAACCAAGUUUUUUGCUUUGAAGAUAAGUUACCAUAGGGAUUAACAGCGUAAUUUUUUUUGAAAGUUCAUAUUGAAAAAAGAGAUUGCGACCUCGAUGUUGGAUUAAAAUAACCUUAAGGUGUAGAGGCUUUAAUUGGUGAAUCUGUUCGAUUUUUAAAAUUUUAC
rnacentral:rRNA from 1 species